CCUACGGGAGGCAGCAGUAGGGAAUAUUGCUCAAUGGGGGAAACCCUGAAGCAGCAACGCCGCGUGGGGGAUGAAGGUUUUCGGAUUGUAAACUCCUUUUGUUAGAGAAGAUAAUGACGGUAUCUAACGAAUAAGCACCGGCUAACUCCGUGCCAGCAGCCGCGGUAAUACGGAGGGUGCAAGCGUUACUCGGAAUCACUGGGCGUAAAGAGCGCGUAGGCGGGAUAGCAAGUCAGAUGUGAAAUCCUAUGGCUUAACCAUAGAACUGCAGUUGAAACUGUUAUUCUAGAGUAUGGGAGAGGUAGGUGGAAUUCGUGGUGUAGGGGUAAAAUGCGUAGAGAUCAAGAGGAAUACUCAUUGCGAAGGCGACCUGCUAGAACAUAACUGACGCUGAGGCGCGAAAGCGUGGGGAGCAAACAGGAUUAGAUACCCUUGUAGUC
rnacentral:rRNA from 1 species